rnacentral:rRNA from 1 species
AUUGAACGCUGGCGGCAGGCCUAACACAUGCAAGUCGAACGGUAACAGGAAGAAGCUUGCUUCUUGGCUGACGAGGGGCGGACGGGUGAGUAAUGUCUGGGAAACCGCCUGAUGGAGGGGGAUAACUACAGGAAACGGUAGCUAACACAGCAUAACGUCGCAAGACCAAAGAGGGGGACCUACGGGCCUCUUGCCAUCGGAUGUGCCCAGAUGGGAUUAGCUAGUAGGUGGGGUAACGGCUCACCUAGGCGACGAUCCCUAGCUCGUCUGAGAGGAUGAGCAGCCACCCUGGAACUGCGACACGGUCCAGACUCCUACGGGAGGCAGCAGUGGGGAAUCUUGCGCAAAGGGCGGGAGCCUUGUGCAGUGGUGCCGAGUGUAUGAAGAAGGCCUUCCGGUUGUGAAGUCCGUCCACGGGUGAGGAAGGUAGUACAGCUAAUACCUUUGCACAUUGACGUUACCCGCAGAAGAAGCGCCGGCUAACUCCGUG